AAAGGCCUACCAAGGCGACGAUCUGUAGCGGGUCUGAGAGGAUGAUCCGCCACACUGGGACUGAGACACGGCCCAGACUCCUACGGGAGGCAGCAGUGGGGAAUAUUGGACAAUGGGGGGAACCCUGAUCCAGCCAUGCCGCGUGUGUGAAGAAGGCCUUAUGGUUGUAAAGCACUUUAAGCGAGGAGGAGGCUCCCGUAGUUAAUACCUACGGAGAGUGGACGUUACUCGCAGAAUAAGCACCGGCUAACUCUGUGCCAGCAGCCGCGGUAAUACAGAGGGUGCGAGCGUUAAUCGGAUUUACUGGGCGUAAAGCGUGCGUAGGCGGCUUUUUAAGUCGGAUGUGAAAUCCCCGAGCUUAACUUGGGAAUUGCAUUCGAUACUGGGAAGCUAGAGUAUGGGAGAGGAUGGUAGAAUUCCAGGUGUAGCGGUGAAAUGCGUAGAGAUCUGGAGGAAUACCGAUGGCGAAGGCAGCCAUCUGGCCUAAUACUGACGCUGAGGUACGAAAGCAUGGGGAGCAAACAGGAUUAGAUACCCUGGUAGUCCAUGCUGUAAACGAUGUCUACUAGCCGUUGGGGCCUUUGAGGCUUUAGUGGCGCAGCUAACGCGAUAAGUAGACCGC
rnacentral:rRNA from 1 species